GUUGUUACGUACGGGCCUUGGGGUGGAAAUGGCGGGACUGCUCAUGACAUCAGGGCAGCAUCUUCCCUCCGUCUCAAAAGUGUGACAAUUCCUUAUGGCGAUAUCAUCGAUUCACUUACGUUUUCAUAUAGCGAUCACAGUGGGCAUGUACACAGGGUUGGCCCAUGGGGUGGUACUGGUGGUGCGAACAAAUAUACGAUCAAUCUUGAUCCAACAGAUUUUGUGAAAGAAAUUUCUGGCAAAUUUGGUCCAUAUCCCUUAUCACGCUCCAAUGUCAUAACAUCGCUCAAGCUGGUAACCCAUGAGGAUACAUAUGGCCCUUUUGGAUUUGUAGAAGGAACUCCUUUCUGCGCCACAUUGGAAAGCGGUUGGGCUAUAGUUGGCUUCUUUGCACGUGCGGAGAGGUAUGUUCAUAAAAUUGGUGUGUAUGCCAGACCUUUGACGCUUGAUGCACAAGAACCGGCAGUGAACUCCGAGCUGGAAAGAGGACAAGAGUAG
rnacentral:rRNA from 1 species